rnacentral:rRNA from 1 species
UACAGAGGUCUCAAGCGUUGUUCGGAUUCAUUGGGCGUAAAGGGUGCGUAGGUGGCGCUGUAAGUCGGGUGUGAAAUUUCGGAGCUUAACUCCGAAACUGCAUUCGAUACUGCGGUGCUUGAGGACUGGAGAGGAGACUGGAAUUCAUGGUGUAGCAGUGAAAUGCGUAGAGAUCAUGAGGAAGACCAGUGGCGAAGGCGGGUCUCUGGACAGUUCCUGAUCACUGAGGCACGAAGGCCAGGGGAGCAAACGGG